GGCUUUAGAGGGUGGAACAGGCAGCCGCCGCACCUGUAAAAAGCAGGUCUAAAGAGAUCCGGGAUACGCCUCCCCGGCUAAGGUC
rnacentral:ncRNA from 12 species